rnacentral:rRNA from 1 species
AUUGAACGCUGGCGGCAGGCCUAACACAUGCAAGUCGAACGAGUGGCGGACGGGUGAGUAAUGUCUGGGAAACUGCCCGAUGGAGGGGGAUAACUACUGGAAACGGUAGCUAAUACCGCAUACCAUCGGAUGUGCCCAGAUGGGAUUAGCUAGUAGGUGGGGUAACGGCGCACCUAGGCGACGAUCCAUAGCUGGUCUGAGAGGAUGACCAGCUACCCUGGAACUGAGACGCGGUCCCGUCUCCUACGGGAGGCGGCAGUGGGUAAUAUUGCAAAAUGGCCGCAAGCCUGAUGCAGCCAGGCCGCGUGUAUGAAGAAGGCCUUCGGGUUGUAAAGUACUUUCAGCGAGGAGGCGUUAUUCGCAGGAUACGCACCGGCUAACUCCGUGCCAGCAGGCGCGGUAAUUC